AUGGCUAGUAAUUGGAGUUUCAGACAAUUUGGGGAGGUAAUUUGUAGCCAAUAUCCUUGGGGUUUGCUUGAUGAAGUGGUAUACAAAUACUAUGAUGGGGAAAAUAAAUGGGUGACAGUUAGUAAUGAUGAAGGGCUGGCUACCAUGUUUGCUAGGCAUAAGGAGAAAGAGAAUUUUCAUGUGAGGCUGCAAAUUGAUGUGCUUGAGCAGGCAUUUGGACCUAGGAUGGCGGGUGCAACAUCUCGGGGAGAACCAAGUCGUCGUAAUGGCAUCUCUAGACAGAACAGUUCAGUUAGUGCAUGGCGACGUGGUGGCUCGACAAGUGUGGGCACCGGCAGUAGGGCCCCCCUUGAAGUGGAGCCUGAUGACUAA
rnacentral:rRNA from 1 species